GAUGAACGCUAGCGGCAGGCUUAACACAUGCAAGUCGAGGGGUAGAGGCUUUCGGGCCUUGAGACCGGCGCACGGGUGCGUAACGCGUAUGCAAUCUGCCUUUCACAGAGGGAUAGCCCAGAGAAAUUUGGAUUAAUACCUCAUAGCAUAACACAACCGCAUGGUUGAGUUAUUAAAGUCACAACGGUGAAAGAUGAGCAUGCGCCCCAUUAGUUAGUUGGUAAGGUAACGGCUUACCAAGACUUCGAUGGGUAGGGGUCCUGAGAGGGAGAUCCCCCACACUGGUACUGAGACACGGACCAGACUCCUACGGGAGGCAGCAGUGAGGAAUAUUGGUCAAUGGGCGCAAGCCUGAACCAGCCAUGCCGCGUGCAGGAUGACGGUCCUAUGGAUUGUAAACUGCUUUUGUACGAGAAGAAACACUCCUUCGUGAAGGAGCUUGACGGUAUCGUAAGAAUAAGGAUCGGCUAACUACGUGCCAGCCGCCGCAGUAA
rnacentral:rRNA from 1 species